AACGAACGCUGGCGGCAGGCUUAACACAUGCAAGUCGAACGCAUCCUUCGGGGUGAGUGGCAGACGGGUGAGUAACGCGUGGGAACGUGCCCUUCAGUUCGGGAUAACCCAGGGAAACUUGGGCUAAUACCGGAUACGUGCGAGAGCAGAAAGAUUUAUCGCUGAAGGAUCGGCCCGCGUCUGAUUAGCUAGUUGGUGGGGUAAUGGCCCACCAAGGCGACGAUCAGUAGCUGGUCUGAGAGGAUGAUCAGCCACAUUGGGACUGAGACACGGCCCAAAAUCGUACGGGAGGCAGCAGUGGGGAAUAUUGGACAAUGGGCGCAAGCCUGAUCCAGCCAUGCCGCGUGAGUGAUGAAGGCCUUAGGGUUGUAAAGCUCUUUCGUCCGGGACGAUAAUGACGGUACCGGAAGAAGAAGCCCCGGCUAACUUCGUGCCAGCAGCCGCAGUAA
rnacentral:rRNA from 1 species